rnacentral:tRNA from 1 species
GGACCCGUAGCUCAGUUGGUUAGAGCGCAGCAUUCACAUUGCUGAGGUCAAAGGUUCGAGACCUUUCGGGUCCA